GAUGAAGAACGCAGCGAAAUGCGAUAAGUAAUGUGAAUUGCAGAAUUCAGUGAAUCAUCGAAUCUUUGAACGCACAUUGCGCCCGCCAGUAUUCUGGCGGGCAUGCCUGUCCGAGCGUCAUUUCAACCCUCGAACCCCUCCGGGGGGUCGGCGUUGGGGAUCGGCCCUGCCUCUUGGCGGUGGCCGUCUCCGAAAUACAGUGGCGGUCUCGCCGCAGCCUCUCCUGCGCAGUAGUUUGCACACUCGCUUCGGGAGCGCGGCGCGUCCACAGCCGUUAAACACCCAACUUCUGAAAUGUUGACCUCGGAUCAGGUAGGAAUACCCGCUGAACUUAAGCAUAUCAAUAAGCGGAGGA
rnacentral:misc_RNA from 1 species